ACAUUGUUGUUGUUUUUUUCAUUGAAUUUGGAUGUUUUGAUGAUUUAAGGAAAAUUUACGUAGCAUAUAUAUUGAUGUUUUAAUUCAGAGUUUGUUAAUGACACUUAAUCAUUAACAAACAUUUAAAAAGGUUUAUUACAAUACUAAUUGAUAAUAUUAAAUUAAUGUAAUAAUCUUGUUUUGUUACACCCUAAAUCACUGAGCGCACAAACGCUACCCCAGUUACAAGCAUGGAUGGUUGACUUCAUGCAGACAUGCGCAGACAUCGAAGUACCGCGAGAGUGAUUCAAAAGCCCACGAAACAGUGUAAUCACGCGGUACUGUGACGUCAUACUGGUUAACGCUAAGCCACGUGAAGCGCCCGGACACAAGGGCUGCACUAAUCUUUGGGCUGGAGUAGCCUGUGGCUUACGUGUCUCGUCGCAGAACGAUUUAUUUCUCUUUUUCACCUCGAUCUUUGGCCUCUUGUGAUUUAACAAAACCAACAUGUGAAGUUACAACGCUGACGAAGGAGUUUAAUCAGUAACGUUAGAGUGUGUCCUGGUAAACGUGUGCUUGGAAACAUGCAGAUUACAGUAUUUACAGAGCCGACCUUGAGGCUAUUUUUUUUGCAUGACAUCCACUGAUGGAUAAUCUGUUUACCUAAAAACAGCACUUCAGGAGAAACCUGCCUGUGAUCUGCUAAGAUGCACAGAUUCAACUCUGGCCCAUUGUCAUCCCAACACCUUAUCUGCCAUCAGUUUCGUUUAGUGUCGGUCUAUUGCAAAAGUUCUUAUAAACUUUAAAUGAGACUUUGUGUUAAGCAGGGGUUUCCAAACUUUUCAUUUCACAACAUAUUAAGCCCAGGAUACACAGCAGGAUUUUUGCAAUCCAAUAGACCUUAUCACACUGUGUGACAAGAAUUGUUUAAACUUUAGCAGUAGACUGUCGAUGAAGACACCUAUUGCAUCUGAGGCUGCGACAUCCGUCAUCAGCAUGCGCUAGUGGUAAACAAAUACAGGUAUGCAGGUCGUAGAAGCAAACACGUUGUUGAUGUGCGUUGAUCAUGCUGAACUUCUUACACUGUCAUAAAACUAUCGUAGGUGUCUUUGGUCCCAGGACUGGGAAAAGAGGUCUUUAAACCUCUCACACUGUAUGAGAUAGGACCACCAAUUAAGAGCCACGAUCACAGAAAUCUCCACGAUUGUUUCACGAUUGGUAAUCUUUCAUCUGGGACAGCCAAAAAUCGUGCCGUGUAUUAUGGGCUUUAGACAUGUGUAAUCUUAUAGUAUAUCAAAACCAUUGCUAAUAAUUAAUUGGACAAACCAUCACUACAAUGCAACACUCGCUAUCUUACGGUGCGACCCACAAGUGGGUCUUCACCCACAGCUUAAAAACCCUGAGUAUGAGUAAGAGUAUGUUGUAUUGUAAUUAAAGUCACAUCUAAGUGUUAUGGAGCAGUUUGUCAUUAUAUUCACAGUAUUACAUGGUUCUUUCAGCAGUUUCUACGUUACAAUGCUCUUAAAGUGUCCUGAUCAGCUUUGGGUCUUGUGAAGUAAUGUAAUGAGAAUGUGAUCAAUAGCUUUGCAGUAUUUUUGGUUAAACAUUUUAUUCAAAUUUGGUAAACAAUCUAGUCAAUAUAAUUCAUGCUGUGAUGCUGGAUUAAACCUGGUCAAAUGAA